rnacentral:rRNA from 1 species
UUUUUGAAGUUUUGGGUCAGGUUUCCGUAGGUGAACCUGCGGAAGGAUCAUUACCGAGUGAGGGCCCUCUGGGUCCAACCUCCCACCCGUGUUUAUCGUACCUUGUUGCUUCGGCGGGCCCGCCUCACGGCCGCCGGGGGGCAUCCGCCCCCGGGCCCGCGCCCGCCGAAGACACACAAACGAACUCUUGUCUGAAGAUUGCAGUCUGAGUACUUGACUAAAUCAGUUAAAACUUUCAACAACGGAUCUCUUGGUUCCGGCAUCGAUGAAGAACGCAGCGAAAUGCGAUAAGUAAUGUGAAUUGCAGAAUUCAGUGAAUCAUCGAGUCUUUGAACGCACAUUGCGCCCCCUGGUAUUCCGGGGGGCAUGCCUGUCCGAGCGUCAUUGCUGCCCUCAAGCACGGCUUGUGUGUUGGGCUCUCGCCCCCCGCUUCCGGGGGGCGGGCCCGAAAGGCAGCGGCGGCACCGCGUCCGGUCCUCGAGCGUAUGGGGCUUCGUCACCCGCUCUGUAGGCCCGGCCGGCGCCCGCCGGCGAACACCAUCAAUCUUAACCAGGUUGACCUCGGAUCAGGUAGGGAUACCCGCUGAACUUAAGCAUAUAAGACGCGGAAGAAA